rnacentral:rRNA from 1 species
GGUUUGACAUGCCUGGCCCGCCACCUCAUGGUGUGUGAGUGCCGGUGCGUGACUGCCAUCCUUCUGGAGACACGUGUCUACCCUUUACUGGGCCGGAUACGCGAUCCAGAUCAUUUACUUUGAAAAAAUUAGAGUGUUUAAAGCAGGCUUUUCGCUAUGAAUACAUUAGCAUGGAAUAAUAAUUUAGGACUUUGGUCUUAUUUUGUUGGUUUCUAGGACUGAAGUA